GAGAGACUGCGCUCCCUCACCUUUGAUGGAGACGGACUCCUGCUGAGCUCCUUCGCCUUAACUGGUGGGCUCCUACUGCCAUCAGGCGAGAUGCUUCGCUCAAUGGCCUUAGAUGGGGGGCUUCUCUUUGUUGCCUUUGGGCUCCUGCUGUAGCGAGGGCUCCGGCCAUCUGGAGAAAGGCUGCGCUUCCUCCCCCUUGAUGGAGGCGGGCUCCUCUUUGCUUUCGGGCUCCUGCUGUAUUUAGGGCUCCUUGACCUCCUCCCCUCACGUUCUACGCUGCGACCAUUCCUCCGAGGUGCCGGGGAUCUUGAUCCACUAUAAGACGGGCUUCGGCUGUAACUACGGUUCCUUCUACCACGGCGAGGGGAAGGUGAUGGAGAAUGACUGUGUCCAGAUCUGAGACUCUUGGGACUAUUCU
rnacentral:misc_RNA from 1 species